rnacentral:rRNA from 1 species
AUUCCAGCUCCAAUAGCGUAUAUUUAAGUUGUUGCAGUUAAAAAGCUCGUAGUUGGAUUUCGGGCGGGGUUGGCCGGUCCGCCGUUUCGGUGUGCACUGGCUGGUUUCGUCUUAUUGUCGAGGACGCGCUUCUGGCCUUUACUGGUCGGGACGCGGAGUCGGCGCAGUUACUUUGAAAAAAUUAGAGUGUUCAAAGCGGGCAUACGCUUGAAUAUAUUAGCAUGGAAUAACACUAUAGGACUUCUGUUCUAUUUUGUUGGUCUUCGGAACGGGAGUAAUGAUUAAGAGGAACAGUUGGGGGUAUUCGUACUUGGUCGUCAGAGGUGAAAUUCUUAGAUUGACCGAAGACGAACUACUGCGAAGGCAUCUACCAUGGAUGUUUUCAUUG